rnacentral:rRNA from 1 species
AACGAACGCUGGCGGCAUGCCUAACACAUGCAAGUCGAACGAGACCUUCGGGUCUAGUGGCGCACUGGUGCGUAACGCGUGGGAACCUGCCCUUAGGUUCGGAAUAACUCCCCGAAAGGGGUGCUAAUACCGGAUAAUGUCUUCGGACCAAAGAUUUAUCGCCUUUGGAUGGGCCCGCGUUGGAUUAGCUAGUUGGGAGGGUAAAAGCCUACCAAGGCGACGAUCCAUAGCUGGUCUGAGAGGAUGAUCAGCCACACUGGGACUGAGACACGGCCCAGACUCCUACGGGAGGCAGCAGUGGGGAAUAUUGGACAAUGGGCGAAAGCCUGAUCCAGCAAUGCCGCGUGAGUGAUGAAGGCCUUAGGGUUGUAAAGCUCUUUUACCCGGGAUGAUAAUGACAGUACCGGGAGAAUAAGCUCCGGCUAACUCCGUG